AACCAGUCAACAGGUACUGGGUGGAAUUAUAGGUUACUGUAUUUGCUUUGGCUCUGGGGUAGCAUCCCUUAUCUGUGUUAGAAGGCAUUUCCUUUCCCUCACUGAGGAAAUCGGGCAUUACUUCAAGGAAGUGCCCAUCAGAAGUUCCAUGUGGGUCAGCUGCCAUGGAAACCGUUACCCAGCACCUCAGUGAAAGGAUCACCAUGCUGGAGCCUGAUGGAAGCUCAGGACUGAUUUCUUCAGAGCUUGGCAAUCAACACACUCUAUGGCCAGCAGUGGUGGCCCUGCAUUUGUCCGUGGAAACUAGAGGUCAGGCUCCAGUAGGAAAAAACAGCCUCAGAAACUUCCUCUGAUUCGACCAUUAGGGACGGUAGAUGACAGUAAUGGAGGCUGCCAGGGGACAUGACAGUACUGCUUUUUAGGGCAAAGGAGAAACAUCCCCUCCGAGCUUUUGUAAGAGGGAAAUGGACUUGAACCCUUGCCGGCCACACAGGGCUGGUUGGUUGUCACACACUUACGUCUGAUAGAACACGGUAGGCAGAGAAGAAGAAGCCAGUCCAUGUUGACCAGGGCCUGGGAAGAAACUUUCCAUUCUCAAUGAACAAGCAGCAGAUACAAAUGCCGGGCUGUGAAGAUUCUAAGAAGGCAAGGAACAUCGCACAUAUGACAGAGCAGAGGGGACAGCAGCUUUCCAUCUUCCUGGCCUUGGCUCCGCUCCUCAACAGGACUAAAUGGGAGGAUUAAGGAACCUCACCAGGAAGGGAGAUACCGGCUGCAGUCACAAAUGCACAGGAAAAAUGACUUCUUCCACUGGGGAAGUCACUUGCCCCAUGUGCAGAACAGGAAGGAGCUGGGAGAAGGGAAAACCCAAUGCCUCACCGCCAGGCCCACUUGUUACCCUGGAGAGUUUGUUCACACAGUCCCACUGACCCUGCAUCUAUCCAGCACCGAUCGGUGGUAAUUUCAAGUGACAUAACAUCAAUGGGAGAUUCUGAGAUACAUCAAGAGAGGCAGAAUUGGUAAUGUGCCUACAAUGGGCUACCAAAGGCAACAAAAGGAAGGGACUGUGAAGGAUAAAUGGCUUGGGGAUCAGAUCAAAGAAUUUGCCACCAAUCACAGAGACAAACUGUGCCUCAACAUUUGUGACCCCACACCUGCUGGAAGAAGGUCAUAGCUCUAAACAAACACUGCACAUGUGGGCACAUAUAAACAUGCACACAUGCAGAGGUCACACUAAGGCAAAGCAAGUCAGAGAUAUCAAACUGGAGUAUUAACCAGAAGACAGGACACCUGUGUAGACCGAGGAGUACCAAACCAGACGGAAAAAUUAAGACUACACGGCAGUCUGCAGUAAGGAGAAACAGCCUUCUAUUCCAAACAACUCGUUGAUGGGUCACAGAGCAGAACUCCUCUGUCCUAAAUGGGGCUGUGAGUCUAACGGACAUGCCAGAUGGGUGGCUAGCUCCCGAAGCCAGGCCGAUGGCAGGGGGAAACCUGCAUACGGUUUUCUACCUCAGGCGUUCUUGGCAAGAAUCAUCGCCCACCUGUUGCAAAGCCUGUCUGUGGGAAAGAAACACACAUGGUCAUGGGUCCACAUAUGGAGCCUGCUAAGGUCAAGUCUAAGGCUCUUCCUUCCAGGAGAGACCUCAGGACCUCGAUAACUCCUUCCCCAAUUCCCUGGUCUGAGGAGAGAGUCUGUGCAUAAUAAACAGGGGGCUGCUACCAACAACCUGCUGAAGUUUCACCCUGGAAGGAGAGUCCCUCGGAGGUGUCAGGUGCUACCAGGAUAAGUACAUAUUCUCUCACAUUGUAACCUUCAGUUCUUCUAAGUGAGAAGGCAUUCCUAACUGCACCGUUCUGGAUGCAUUAGUCUUUGGUUGAGACUAACUCUUACUGUGUGCCCAAGGCUGGACUCAGACUUAAGCAUGCUGACAUUACAGGCACGAAUAACUCCAGGACUCAGCUUUUCUUUAAAGAUGCCCUAUGUCUUAGGUCUCCUACCAGCCUGAGCCCUGGUGUCAGUAACCCCCAGCCUCUUCGAAAGAUUACAAGAAAGACAUUGUCUCUUCUGAGCCUGGGAAAAGAAAAAUAAGAUUUCAAGAAGCACCCUGAUAGUAAAGAGCUUGAGAAGACAGACUCGGCCUUCCAGAAGGGACGGACGGGAUGGGACUCAGGAAAGGGAAAGAAACAGAAGCUAUGACCACAGUACAGAGUACUGAUUAAAGGAAAGGAGCAGAGCA